rnacentral:rRNA from 1 species
UCUUUGGCCUGAACAUGCCCAAUCUCUUCUGACCUUGGAAAUUAAGCAGGUUUGGGCCUGGUUAGUACUUGAGUGGGAGAGAAAAAGAGAAAGAGAGAAAGAA